rnacentral:rRNA from 1 species
UACGUAGGGGGCAAGCGUUGUCCGGAAUCAUUGGGCGUAAAGAGCGUGUAGGCGGUCCGGUAAGUCGGCUGUGAAAGUCCAGGGCUCAACCCUGGGAUGCCGGUCGAUACUGCCGGACUAGAGUUCGGUAGGGGAGACUGGAAUUCCUGGUGUAGCGGUGAAAUGCGCAGAUAUCAGGAGGAACACCGGUGGCGAAGGCGGGUCUCUGGGCCGAGUAACUGACGCUGAGGAGCGAAAGCGUGGGGAGCGAACAGG